rnacentral:lncRNA from 1 species
UCGGUUGAGAGAUGGUCUGACUAAGUGUUUAUAAACUAGAGGCAAUUCUCACCUUACAAGCCGGUUUUGUAAGGUUGAGUUAGACCCAAUACUCAAUUCUAAGAUGGUAUCAUAGCCUCUCCACGAUCCGUUGGGCCACCUGUUAUCAGGUUUCCGCUAUCGGACCACCUACCGUUUAUAUCCACGCACCAAGCCCAAUAGUGCUGGGCGUGAGGGGGUGUGNNN